AUUUCAAUGUCAUUCCUGUGGGGGACAUGGAAGAGAAUUCAUUCCCUCAGAUGUGAUGAGUUUGGUAUUUGAUGAAGUAAAUAUGAUCCAAUCCCUCGAUAUCUACCAAGUAAUCAGCUUUAAAUUAAUUUGAAGUAUUUGCCUAUUGUACCAUUCUGUUAUUUCCUACUGAAAGCAGAUGAUUUACUGGGGAUACCCUGUGUGCUAUGAUCAUGGAGGAACGAUUUUGCAUGCUGUCAGUAAAGUUUUUGCAGCACCUAACACUAACGGAUAUCAGAAAGAGUUUCUUAGUGCACUACAGCAUUGGUGCGCUCACCUAAUCAUGAGACAAGACAACCAGAGCAAUGGUGGAAAUUCUAAAUGUAAUUGAGCACAUUAAGGGAAUCUUUGCUGGAACCAUGAUGUACAAGCGAAAUGUUGGCACUUUAACCUAAUGAGAAGGAAACUAGCAGUUGUGAUUAUCACAUGGGUACUGGCAUCUAUUAUCUGACGGCAUCAGGGAGCUUAUAUUAUGGCGUACAAGUGCUCACAGGGACAACCAAAUUGGCCGGCUCUCUUUCAUUGUGGUCGUUGAAGUAUUGUUGUCAACAGUUGGUCCUAACUUCACUUGUUGGGUAGGUGCUGCUAAAAGGUUAAUGGAAGUGCACAUUUAGCUAGCUUUGUACAGAUGCACACCACACAAGGGAUUAUGGAAAGGGGAAACGGUUGGCAGAGAUUAACAUCUUGAACUAUUGACAGCUCCAUCCUGGACACAACAAUAUUGGAUUUUUGCUGUAACAGAAAUGGUCCUACCCCUUGCACAGGCUAAAAGCCAGUUCAAGCUUUUCUCUGAAGAAAGAAGGUUCCUUUUCCUCCAAUAAGACAGGGAAGGAAUCCAGGCGUCCAGCCUCUGAUCUGCCGAUUAGAUCGAUGCUGUUUCUUCAGGGACAAGUACUAAUGAUUCAACCAGCUUCAGGCUCACGUCUUGGCAUGUGACCCGAUCGGAUGUACGCAAGGUUUUGUGGCUAACCAAACCAGACCUGAUGACCUGGUGGUCCAGAUGGACAACGCAAGCUAACUAGAUAUGUGGUUUAUCUUUAAGGAUCGAUGGAUCUGCUUAAUUAGUUACUUCCAUCCAACCUUGAAGAGGACAAAGGAAAAAGAUGUCUAAUUUCAGAUCGUCUCCAGCAACACGUACGGGACCAUGAUAAUGUAUGGGUUCCGUUUGGACCAUCAUCGAUCGCCGCGGCUCACCGGCGUGCACAGUGGGAGCCGCCGGCUGGACCAUUUUCACAUAUAUAGCAAGGGGCCAUUUGGAUGCAUCUCGCUGUUUAACUCGUUGAUUAGUCAUGCCAGACAAAGCUUGCUUAAACCCUUCAUUGGUUGACACAGCUCACAUUAUUUAAUUUCUUAAACAAAUGGUCGCGCCCCUAUAAGGAAUUGUUCAGCCUUGCUGCUCUGGAAAAGGUCCCUGGAAUCGCCGCAACUUUACAGCUACCUCUCUGAAUGAGAGUCUGCCUUUCCAUGCACAAACUCUCAGUGUAUGGCCCUGCUGCAGAUUAUUACCCACCCAAGGUUGGCAGAUGAAUUGGCCCUCCCACUCAUUGGACAUGUGACUUACCACCAUGACAAGAUAAAAAGCCAGUGGUAAAAAAAAAAAAGGAACAGAAGGGAGCACAAGUAGGAAGCAAGGUGGCACUGUGUGGGCUCCUCCUGGACAUGUCUGAUCCCAAUUUCCUAUCUCUCCCUCUUUUUACCUUUCUCACCAUCCCAUGUGCAACAUUCAGCCUGCAGCCAGAAGAAAGUAGCUAGAGCCAAGCUCGCCCUUCUCAUGCCAAUUGCCCAAGCAACUCGAUCAGAGUGUGUGAGAAAAUAUAUAUGCAUGACUACUGUGUACUAGGGAAUUGUGAAUGAAGUUGUAGCUCAUGUAAAUCUACUGUUAUAGGAUAGCAAGUGUUGUCAAACAUGAUAAACUUUUUUAUUAGAUUGAUCACUAAGUAUAUUAUUGGUACAUGUAGGCAUAGUGCCUAGAUUAUCCAUGUAUUUAGCUAAGAAAUGCCGCAUUCGAAUCCACAAGUAUAAUGGUACCCUUCGAUAUA